rnacentral:rRNA from 1 species
AUUGAGACUGACAGUGUCUGUACGAUCUGCGGGAGGGAAGAGGAAGAUGAGUUCCAUGCUGUCAUCAAGUGCACCAAAGCACGAGCGAUCAGAGAGGAAAUGCGAAAGCAUUGGAACUUGCCGGCGGAGAAUCAAUUUUGUUUUACUGGAAACGAUUGGCUUCAGAAUCUUCUGGGCAAACAUACUGCCGAUGUACGUAGCAAAACCAUGCUCCUGUUAUGGAGGGCCUGGUGGCUCCGUGAUGAUUGCAUCCAUGGGGAGGGCAAAGCAACGAUAGGACAGUCCGUCCAAUUCCUAGCUAAAUAUGCUACAGAGAUUGGAAUUAGUGGAUCAGUGAACCACCCUUACUCCGACACAUACCACCUGAUGGGAGACCAAGGCGCACAUGUUAUAGACACGAGGCGCGAGGAAAUCAGAAGAGGGAAGCUACCUUGGGGGCAGAAUACGAAGUGUGACAGUGUGGACAGUGCUGACGUAGCUGGGCAUGCAUUCCAUCCGGGUGCGCCAAGGGAGGAACAAAGACGGACAACGGGGAGCCUGUGGGAACCACCUGAUGCGGGCAUCUGGAAACUGAAUUCGGACGCAUCUUUCCUUCCAAGACACCGGGGAUACUUCGGCGGGAAUUAUUGUCAGAGAUCACCGGGGUGUGGUUGCUUUGGCUUGUGGACAACGACCCCAGGCCUGUAA